CUGUUCGUUUCUCCUCGGAUCUCGAUAUAGAUCGUGAAAAUUCGUAGAUACGAUCAUCUUGGCUAUUGAAGAAAAUGCUGUGUUUCGCGUCUAAGAUCGUGUCAAAGAAGGACGAUCCUAUUACGAAUAUAUAUACGUUUACGAGGUACG